UUUAUGGUCAGGGCAACGCGGGGCCGUGAACCCCGCCAGGUCCGGAAGGAAGCAACGGUAGCGUUACUUCGCGUGUGUCCUGGCCGUCCUUCA
rnacentral:SRP_RNA from 1 species